AUUGAACGCUGGCGGCAGGCCUAACACAUGCAAGUCGAGCGAGCGGCGGACGGGUGCGUAAUGUCUGGGAAACUGCCUGUAGGAGGGGGAUAACUACUGGAAACGGCAGCUAAUACCGUAUUCAAUCCGAUGUGCCCAGAGGGGAUUAGCUAGUAGGUGGGGUAACGGCUCACCUAGGCGACGAUCCCUAGCUGGUCUGAGAGGAUGACCAGCCACACUGGAACUGAGACACGGUCCAGACUCCUACGGGAGGCAGCAGUAGGGAAUAUUGGACAAUGGGCGCAAGCCUGAUGCAGCCAUGCCGCGUGUGUGAAGAAGGCUUUCGGGUUGUAAAGCACUUUCAGCGGUGAGGCGUUACCCGCAGAGGAAGCACCGGCUAACUCCGUGCCAGCAGCCGCGGUAAUAC
rnacentral:rRNA from 1 species